CUCUUUUUUUACAUCACUACUAUAGUCGUUUAAGUUUUGCUCCUUUUUACACACACAUAUGGAGAAGUCUGUGAUCUGCAAAAAAAUCUUCAUCUUCAUCGUGCUCGCAACAUUGUGUAUGGAGUUAUCGAAUCUUCCGCGAACAGAAGCGACAUUUUGUGACAAUGAUUCUCAAUGUUUAUAUUAUGCGCCGAUAUGCAAAAUUAGAGACGAAAUAUCUUACUGCGACACGAACUUGCACGUAUGCUUGUGCAAAAAACCUCAGCCAGAAGUCAAUAUUAAAAAUUAACGAUCAUCAUUGAUUAGUUAUGCUAAUAAUUUUUAAAUGGAAUUGAAAAAUUCGUUUCA